rnacentral:rRNA from 1 species
UUCUAAGGGCGGUGAAGUCAGACCGGAAGGACUGGUGGAGCGCUUAGAAGUGAGAAUGCCGGUAUGAGUAGCGAAAGAAGGGUGAGAAUCCCUUCCACCGAAUAUCUAAGGUUUCCUGAGGAAGGCUCGUCCGCUCAGGGUUAGUCGGGACCUAAGCCGAGGCCGAUAGGCGUAGGCGAUGGACAACAGGUAGAGAUUCCUGUACCAGUGCUAAUUGUUUAACCGAUGGGGUGACACAGAAGGAUAGGGAAUCGCACGAAUGGAAAUGUGCGUCCAAGCAGUGAGUGUGAGAAGUAGGCAAAUCCGCUUCUCGCGAAGCAUGAGCUGUGAUGGGGAAGGAAAUUAAGUACGGAAGUUCCUGAUUUCACGCUGUCAAGAAAAGCCUCUAGGAAGAGUAGUACUGCCCGUACCGCAAACCGACACAGGUAGAUGAGGAGAGAAUCCUAAGGUGAGCGAGAGAACUCUCGUUAAGGAACUCGGCAAAAUGACCCCGUAACUUCGGGAGAAGGGGUGCUCUAUUAGGGUGCAAGCCCGAGAGAGCCGCAGUGAAUAGGCCCAGGCGACUGUUUAGCAAAAACACAGGUCUCUGCAAAACCGUAAGGUGACGUAUAGGGGCUGACGCCUGCCCGGUGCUGGAAGGUUA